UGUCAACAUGAAUGUGUUUCUCUGUCCGAGUGUUGCGAGGAACAGUCAGUGUUCUUGUCAAAAGCUUCAAGAACUGUAAUGGCGGCUCUGGUGAUAACGUUUCGUGGUGCUCAGAAGCUUAUGUCUGUGAUUGGAACCAGUACCUGAUACCACACAGCUCGCCUCAGGCGGUGAAGGCCGUGCAGAUACACCACGAGAAAGGUGGAGGGCAGAUUGUCCAGCGUGAGGAAGGAAGUAGAACGGAGGGGGCAGCCGCUGAGCAUGAGGAACCCACAGCUGACACUAUUGGCACUGGGCUAGCAGCAUGGUGAUCUCGGCUGGCACUGCAUCGUAUCCAUAACGGGAGUGUGCUUACCGCAUGACUGAGACUCCUUAUGUCUACACAUGGCCUAUAGAUCUCCCUUGCUACUAACACCUUGUUAUUUUCUAUGCUCAUCUCUGUAGUACUCAGAUGGUUGAUGUCCUCUUGUCAAGCAAUCAUGCACUGCAUGUUCUGUCCCUUUAUCUCCCUGGGGUGGUGUAUUUUAUUUUAUUAUUCUUUUAUUCAC